GCCUUGAUAGCUUAACUGGUUAAAGUACGGAGCUGAAGUCUCUGGGUAGGAUGUUCAAGUCGUCCUCAAGGCA